rnacentral:rRNA from 1 species
GUAACGCGUGGGUAACGUACCCUGAUCCUGGGAAUAACCCUCGGAAACGAGGGCUAAUACCGAAUGUGGCGAACGACCGGUUGGUCGCUCGCUAAAGGUGGCCUCUUCUAUGCUGCCGGGUUGGGAUCGGCCCGCGUCCCAUUAGCUAGUUGGUGAGGUAACGGCUCACCAAGGCCACGAUGGGUAGCCGGCCUGAGAGGGUGUACGGCCACACUGGCACUGAGACAAGGGCCAGUCCCCUAUGGGAGGCGCAGGCGGGAAUAGUUCACAAUGGGCGAAAGCCUGAUGACGCGACGCCGCGUGAGCGAAGAAGACCUUCGGGUUGUAAAGCUCUGUCAGGAGGGAAGAAGGCUCUACGGGUUAAUAGCCCGUGGAAUUGACGGUACCUCCAGAGGAAGCCCCGGCUAAAUACGUGCCAGCAGCCGCGGUAAUACGUAUGGGGCAAGCGUUGUCCGGAUUUACUGGGCGUAAAGGGCGCGUAGGCGGUUUGUUAAGUCGAAGGUGAAAUCCUCGGGCUCAACUCGAGAAUUGCCUUCGAUACUGGCAAACUAGAGUGGCGGAGAGGAAAGCGGAACUCUUGGUGUAACGGUGGAAUGUGUAGAUAUCAAGAGGAACACCGGUGGCGAAGGCGGCUUUCUGGACGCACACUGACGCUCAGGCGCGAAAGCGUGGGUAGCAAACAGGAUUAGAUAGCCUGGUAGUCCACGCCAUUAACGAUGGGUACUAGGUGUCGGGGGUAUCGACCCCUCCGGUGCCGCAGUUAACGCACUAAGUACCCCGCCUGGGGAUUAUGGUCGCAAGGCUGAAACUCAAAGGAAUUGACGGGGCGCCGCACAAGCGGUGGAGCAUGUGGUUUAAUUCGACGCAACGCGAAGAACCUUACCUGGGCUUGACAUGCUUGGGACAGCGCUGGAAACAGCGUCUCUCCUUCGGGAGCCCUUGCACAGGUGCUGCAUGGCUGUCGUCAGCUAGUGUCGUGAGAUGUUGGGUUAAGUCCCGCAACGAGCGCAACCCUCGUUACUAGUUGCCAUCAGUUCGGCUGGGCACUCUAGUGAGACUGCCGGUGAUAAACCGGAGGAAGGUGAGGAUGAUGUCAAGUCAUCAUGGCCCUUACGCCCAGGGCUACACACGUGCUACAAUGGUCGGCACAAAGGGUCGCUAAGCCGCGAGGUGGAGCUAAUCCCAAAAAGCCGGCCUCAGUUCG